rnacentral:rRNA from 1 species
CCUACGGGUGGCAGCAGUGAGGAAUAUUGCACAAUGGUGGGAACACUGAUGCAGCGACGCCGCGUGAGCGAUGAAGGAAUUCGGUAUGUAAAGCUCUAUCAGCCAGGAAGCAAAUGCCGGUACCUGACUAAGAAGCCCCGGCUAACUACGUAACAGAAGCCGCCGUAAUACGUCGGGGGCCAGCGUUAUCCGGAUGUACUGGGUGUAAAGGGAGCGUAGACGGUCCUGCAAGCCAGAUGUGAAAGCCCGGGGCUCAACCCCCGGACUGCAGUUGGAACUGUAAGGCUAGAGUGGCGGAGAGGCAGGCGGAAUGCGUAGUGUAGCGGUGAAAUGCGUAGAUAUGAGGAGGAACACCAGUGGCGAAGGCGGCCUGCUGGAUGAAGACUGACGUUGAGGCUCGAAAGCGUGGGGAGCAAACAGGAUUAGAUACCCCGGUAGUC